rnacentral:rRNA from 1 species
CCUACGGGUGGCAGCAGUGGGGAAUAUUGGACAAUGGGCGCAAGCCUGAUCCAGCAAUGCCGCGUGUGUGAAGAAGGCCUUCGGGUUGUAAAGCACUUUAAGUUGGGAAGCGGUACCGACAGAAUAAGCACCGGCUAACUCUGUGCCAGCAGCCGCGGUAAUACAGAGGGUGCAAGCGUUAAUCGGAUUUACUGGGCGUAAAGCGUGCGUAGGCGGUUUGCUAAGUCGGUUGUGAAAGCCCUGGGCUUAACCUGGGAAUUGCAUCGAUACUGGCAGGCUAGAGAACGGUAGAGGGAGGCGGAACUCCAGGUGUAGCGGUGAAAUGCGUAGAUAUCUGGAAGAACACCGAUGGCGAAGGCAACCUCCUGGGCCUGUUGACGCUGAGGCACGAAAGCGUGGGUAGCAAACAGGAUUAGAUACCCUUGUAGUC